rnacentral:rRNA from 1 species
AACGAACGCUGGCGGCAUGCCUAACACAUGCAAGUCGAACGAGAUCUUCGGGUCUAGUGGCGCACGGGUGCGUAACGCGUGGGAAUCUGCCCUUUGGUUCGGAAUAACAGUUGGAAACGACUGCUAAUACCGGAUGAUGACGAAAGUCCAAAGAUUUAUCGCCAGAGGAUGAGCCCGCGUAGGAUUAGCUGGUUGGUGUGGUAAAGGCGCACCAAGGCGACGAUCCUUAGCUGGUCUGAGAGGAUGAUCAGCCACACUGGGACUGAGACACGGCCCAGAGUCCUACGGGAGGCAGCAGUGGGGAAUAUUGGACAAUGGGCGAGAGCCUGAUCCAGCGAUGCCGCGUGAUUGAUGAAGGCCUUAGGGUUGUAAAGCUCUUUUGCCCGGGAUGAUAAUGACAGUACCGGGAGAAUAAGCUCCGGCUAACUCCGUGCCAGCCGCCGCCGUAACAC